ACAGCAAACACUGCAGGACAAUCAGGCAUCCAAGUAACAUGCAAAAUCUCUGCAUCUGAUGAUGGCCAUGUGUUUUCGCCGAUCAUAACUGGUUUAACUCUUGGCUCCUUUGAGAUCAAUAUGACUUCUGCCAAAUCAAAUGUACCGGCAAAUUGCAAAAUCUCUGCAUCUGAUGAUGGCCAUGUGUUUUCGCCGAUCAUAACUGGUUCAAGCUCCUUUGAGAUCAAUACGACUUCUGCCAAAUCAAAUGUGCCGGCAAAUUAUCAUCAAAGGUUUCUGAAAGCAAACACCAGUCAGUUGGUUGAAAAAGUGAAGAACAUUGAUCCAAUAAUUGACCAUCUUGAUUGCUCAAUGAAUCAGUUACAAAUGUGCGAGCGAAUCCAACACACCAGAUGAAGAUGAGGGAACUGCUGGACUGUGUGAAUUAUGAAAGCAUUGCCAACGACCUGGUCAACGCUUUGUUCAAGCAUGAAGAAUCUUUCAUGAAGAAACUGCAAUAACAACUGUUGUAGCCUAUAGUUUGGCAUUAUGUACUUAAACAGUUUUUUAAAAAAGAAAUGUUUUUAAUAAUUGAUUGGUGAUGGAGUUUUAAUUUUUGUAUUGAGAACCAAGUAUAUUGUACAAGUAAGAAGAUACCAAACUGUCCAUAUAAUGAUAUAUUGCACAUAAUAAACAAUGGCAAAGUUUGUAUUCCUUAAAAAACAGGCAAUGUUUGAGAACCCUAAUAUUGGUGUAAUCUCAGCGAGGUCUCAACCACAAACGCAAAACUUUGUGGUGGGUGAUACGGGCAUAGCUUUACUAAAGGAAAAUAUUAUGGAAGUAAUUUUCAAACUAUAUUUUAUUUAUUUAUAUUAUGGUUUUCAUGUUGAUUUAAAGUUUUUGUUAUUAACUAUUACCUUUACUUCAACAUCCAGCACAAAAUUAAAGAGAUGAAUGAUCUAAGGAUGUUCUCUGACCCCAAAUAAACAGAUAAUGGAAUGUUCACAAGCUACAGUUAGAUAGUAUUCUGCUUAGUAUGUGUGUAAAUAGUUGUGCUUAAAUGUUUGGAUGUAUUUUUACACGCCAACAUAUUUUGUCACACCGUAGUGAUGCAAAGUUCCACACUCUUGUAAAGACUAUGGUCUAACUUUAAAACAUAAUCUUUAUACAUGAAUUCAAAAGACCA